CAGAAGUCACCUCGUGUCACCUCUGCUGCGUUGUGAGGGUCGAAGCACGUCACCGAGCCCAGCCACAGCCAAGAAGUCGGGAGAUAGGACACGUUGGUUUAGUUGGAGUGGUGCAGUCACGCUGUGGAAGGCCGUGUGGCCCAGGAUGGGGUGGGGGGGGGGGGGCCUUGAAACUGUAUUUUACCCUCCACCGAAGUACAGGUCUCCUCCAGUCUCUGGCCAAGGGCUUCCUUGAACCCUCUCCCCCAUGGCCAUGUCUUCCGUGCUCCUCGGCCACUCGCGCCCGUGACCCUAACUCCCGGAUCUCGCCGUCAGGGCAUCCGUGGCCCCUCAUACCUUGGCUCCCGGCACCCCAGCCUCUGACCCCACUCCCACCUCUCCUCCCUCCUGUCAUUCGGCACCAACAGGUCCUUGACCUCAGUGGGGCUGUGGCAAAAUCCGGCCUCGGGCACAGCCAGCCCCACGCCCGCACCCACGAAGUUGAAUGCGGCUGGAGGGAACCCCGCAGGCGUCCUGCGAGAACUGAGUUGUAACCCACUGUCGGAAGGCAGGGAGGAACGAAGAGGCGAUAACAACCCUUCAGACCUUAGAUCUGAGCCGUGGACGGAUCUUAGGCGUGCGGACCUCUCCCCUCCUCCUUCUAGUCCGAGAGCCAGAUCCGGGGACUGGCUCGCGCUGGCUCUUCCCUCCCGCCGCAUUCACCACACGUCCAUGAAGUGCCCCCGAUCUCGGGCGCGCACCGGGCAGUUACGGGGCUCAGAGGAGCUAGGCAGGGCCCGGAACCAGUGUGAACUCCAGGGGUGGUCUGGGGGCUGGCCGCACCCGCAUCACGUGGGAGCUUGUUGAGAAGAAAGGUUCUCAGGGCCUCAUCCCGGACCUGCAGAAUCAGAAUCCCCGGGGGCGGGUGUCGGACCCAGAAGCUGUGUUUGGGGCAAGCCCUCUGGUGCCUCUUGAGCACCUUUGGAGUUUGAGGAUCCUGUCUAGACACUUGCUGAUUAGCGUGUGACACCAAGACCCGGGCGCUCGUCCAAAACGGCAGGCCCUGGGACCUCACCACGGGCCCCCUGAAAGAGAAACUGCGUUUUCACCGGGCCCCCCAGGGAUCUGUCACGGGCCCGGGGGCUGGAGGUGGCCGAAGGACGCAUCCCAGGGCGUAGACGCUCAGGAAGCCUUGGGUGACUGGUUGUCGCACAGAAGGAGCACCCUCGCCGGGCUGCCCAGAUAGGUUCCACUUCCCCGGGCCCAUGCUGAGGCUCAGCGGGGACGCCCUGGGGCCUGACCUCGCAUCUGGUCCCUACGCUGUAUUAGCGAGGCUGAGGGAGAGUCGCGCCUACCCGUCGCCGGUGGGGGUAGAAAUCCGGUCCCCCUCCCCGGAGGGCUCUUUGGCCAUGUCUGCCGCGCCCCAGGCUGGACAGACGGAGCAAAGUCCGUGUGCCCUGGAUGCCGCCAGCAGGAAGGCCCUGGUGGGGAAGAUACAAUGUCUCUGGAAGGAAGCAGGAUGAAUGGCUAAUAUUCCUGGUCCCUGGGGAGGGAAACAGGUGCGCCUGGGGGAGACACCAAGCCCGAGUUUUCACUGUCUGUUACUUUGUACCGCUUGGCUUUUGUACCAAGUACAACUGUUAUCCACCUGGUG